CAGGAGUUUCAUAUGGUUCUCAUAGACACUCAUGUUGAAAAAUGAACAACAAAAAAAGUCAUGCUGCAGUUAUUACCAAUCUUUGCUUUCCUGUUUCAUUCCUUUUCUCUCUUUCCUCAUCCUCCAGCGUGGCUAUGGCAUUGAAUACAACUGAGAGCAGGUUCCAACUUCUGGUACUUAUUCUUGGCUCAUUAAUUUUUGGCAAAGUAGAGACAUUUAAAAGGUCUGAUGUUCCCAGGGUAGGUGGCGAUUGAUCAAAAGUCAGCACAGUCAGUGUUGCUAUUUUUUUCAGACUCAUAGUAAUGUUAUUCCCUAAGAGCCCACAAAAACAAAGUAAUUAGGCUGGCUUGAUUGGAGGAAUGGUGGUGGCUGAACCUUCCACAGCACUGAAGAUAGGAGAUUUCCAUGGGACUAACUUUCUUCUACCUAUCUCUUAAGUCUGCCAAAGUCUAAUUUAUAAAAAGACAAGGUAAUGCGUCUUGUGCUUAAAGUGUGUUAUCUGGAUUAUGCCAACUGUGCUCUUCAGGAAUGUGACAUUGUGAAAUGAGAUUUCCACACACCCACAGGAAUGAGCAGACACUGUAUUUAUUAGCCUAGUAAAAGUACAAUGUUAUAUCAACAACACCCAGGCUCUCUCUCUGUUUCUUCCUGUUUGUGUUGUGUGUCUGAGUUAGUCUUGCUCUAAGCCAGUGUUGCCAGGUGUACUCACCAGAGUCUACUCGUUGGAGAUGUGAAUAACAGCCAAAAAAUAGCUAGCCCUGUGUGGAUGCUCCAGCAGAGGUAACAACUGAGAGCCAGUGAGAGAGUAUGCAAAGGAUACGCAUAGCUAUUCGCUGCUGGAGCUUUGAACUUGUCUGCUGAAGAUGAAGAUGCAACAUCACAAUGUGGAGCACUAUGAGCUGUCUGAACAGGAUGGUUAGGAAGACACCGAGUGGUAACUUCAGCUAUUUAAGCUCAGUUAGUGCCUUAAGACAUAUGGCUAUUGGUGUCAGGAAGUGGUGCUGUGUUGGCAGCAGCGUAUACCAUCCCCGAGGAGACUGUAAGUAUGUGUUAAAAAUGGUCCUGUAUAAAAAAAUGAAUUUUACUGAACUCUAAAAAAAGACAGUAAUGGAACUGCUUCUU
rnacentral:lncRNA from 1 species